AAAAUGGAGAGUUUGAUCCUGGCUCAGGAUGAACGCUGGCGGUCUGCUUAACACAUGCAAGUCGAACGGAAGUAGCAAUACUUUAGUGGCGGACGGGUGAGUAACACGUAAGAACCUGCC
rnacentral:rRNA from 1 species